GCAGUCGAACGAACUCUGGUAUUGAUUGGUGCUUGCAUCAUGAUUUACAUUUGAGUGAGUGGCGAACUGGUGAGUAACACGUGGGAAACCUGCCCAGAAGCGGGGGAUAACACCUGGAAACAGAUGCUAAUACCGCAUAACAACUUGGACCGCAUGGUCCGAGUUUGAAAGAUGGCUUCGGCUAUCACUUUUGGAUGGUCCCGCGGCGUAUUAGCUAGAUGGUGAGGUAACGGCUCACCAUGGCAAUGAUACGUAGCCGACCUGAGAGGGUAAUCGGCCACAUUGGGACUGAGACACGGCCCAAACUCCUACGGGAGGCAGCAGUAGGGAAUCUUCCACAAUGGACGAAAGUCUGAUGGAGCAACGCCGCGUGAGUGAAGAAGGGUUUCGGCUCGUAAAACUCUGUUGUUAAAGAAGAACAUAUCUGAGAGUAACUGUUCAGGUAUUGACGGUAUUUAACCAGAAAGCCACGGCUAACUACGUGCCAGCAGCCGCGGUAAUACGUAGGUGGCAAGCGUUGUCCGGGAUUUAUUGGGCGUAAAGCGAGCGCAGGCGGUUUUUUAAGUCUGAUGUGAAAGCCUUCGGCUCAACCGAAGAAGUGCAUCGGAAACUGGGAAACUUGAGUGCAGAAGAGGACAGUGGAACUCCAUGUGUAGCGGUGAAAUGCGUAGAUAUAUGGAAGAACACCAGUGGCGAAGGCGGCUGUCUGGUCUGUAACUGACGCUGAGGCUCGAAAGUAUGGGUAGCAAACAGGAUUAGAUACCCUGGUAGUCCAUACCGUAAACGAUGAAUGCUAAGUGUUGGAGGGUUUCCGCCCUUCAGUGCUGCAGCUAACGCAUUAAGCAUUCCGCCUGGGGAGUACGGCCGCAAGGCUGAAACUCAAAGGAAUUGACGGGGGCCCGCACAAGCGGUGGAGCAUGUGGUUUAAUUCGAAGCUACGCGAAGAACCUUACCAGGUCUUGACAUACUAUGCAAAUCUAAGAGAUUAGACGUUCCCUUCGGGGACAUGGAUACAGGUGGUGCAUGGUUGUCGUCAGCUCGUGUCGUGAGAUGUUGGGUUAAGUCCCGCAACGAGCGCAACCCUUAUUAUCAGUUGCCAGCAUUAAGUUGGGCACUCUGGUGAGACUGCCGGUGACAAACCGGAGGAAGGUGGGGAUGACGUCAAAUCAUCAUGCCCCUUAUGACCUGGGCUACACACGUGCUACAAUGGAUGGUACAACGAGUUGCGAACUCGCGAGAGUAAGCUAAUCUCUUAAAGCCAUUCUCAGUUCGGAUUGUAGGCUGCAACUCGCCUACAUGAAGUCGGAAUCGCUAGUAAUCGCGGAUCAGCAUGCCGCGGUGAAUACGUUCCCGGGCCUUGUACACACCGCCCGUCACACCAUGAGAGUUUGUAACACCCAAAGUCGGUGGGGUAACCUUUAGAACCAGCCG
rnacentral:rRNA from 1 species